UGCAAGUCGAACGGCAGCACGAGAGAGCUUGCUCUCUUGGUGGCGAGUGGCGGACGGGUGAGUAAUAUAUCGGAACGUGCCCAGUAGCGGGGGAUAACUACUCGAAAGAGUGGCUAAUACCGCAUACGCCCUACGGGGGAAAGGGGGGGAUUCUUCGGAACCUCUCACUAUUGGAGCGGCCGAUAUCGGAUUAGCUAGUUGGUGGGGUAAAGGCUCACCAAGGCAACGAUCCGUAGCUGGUUUGAGAGGACGACCAGCCACACUGGGACUGAGACACGGCCCAGACUCCUACGGGAGGCAGCAGUGGGGAAUUUUGGACAAUGGGGGAAACCCUGAUCCAGCCAUCCCGCGUGUAUGAUGAAGGCCUUCGGGUUGUAAAGUACUUUUGGCAGAGAAGAAAAGGUACCUCCUAAUACGAGGUACUGCUGACGGUAUCUGCAGAAUAAGCACCGGCUAACUACGUGCCAGCAGCCGCGGUAAUACGUAGGGUGCAAGCGUUAAUCGGAAUUACUGGGCGUAAAGCGUGUGUAGGCGGUUCGGAAAGAAAGAUGUGAAAUCCCAGGUCUCAACCUUGGAACUGCAUUUUUAACUGCCGAGCUAGAGUAUGUCAGAGGGGGGUAGAAUUCC
rnacentral:rRNA from 1 species